ensembl:lncRNA
CAGAAAUGUGUUCGUAAGACAUAAGUUUGUCUUAUAAGCUUAAGUACCAUGACUUUAUUACACAAGAACAGACAAGCAUUUUAAUGAUAUUGCAAUACAAUAUUGGCAAUCUUCCACAUUCUAACCAAGUGUCAUGAAAUAGAUCUAAGCUUUGUCAGUGGGGAACAAUGCCAUAAACAUGGGCCUGCACUCCAUCCUAGAACACUUGAAAAUGCAGAACCGAAUGUAAUAGCUUAAAAGCAUAGGCUUAACUAACUAUGUUGAGGAAGGGAAUGGGAGUGUUAUCCCUUCCUUCUAGCCACAACCAAAGCCCUGAAGGAUGCAUUUCCUGCACUAACAAUUGUCCAGGCGUCAUUACAUACAUACUGAUAAGUCAUUACACACAUACUGAUACAUCACUGUGAAAUAUGCAUUGCAAACAAUGUAAUCCGGACCCAAAAGCAUUCCAUACUGUUGCAUUUUAGCUCUGCAUUUCAAAGACUAGUAAACAUGACCAUCAUUUGAGUUGGAUUUCCUAACUCCGUGAACAGUUCAGCCGAUGUGGCUGUAUUUUCCCAUUGCCUUGUUUGAUUUACAGGGUUAGGGGUUAGCUGUACUAUACGCAGCUACUGAUGAUUUUACCCAGGAUAUCCUCAACUAACCUUUCUUGUCCUUGGCCAGAUUCAUUACCCAGUCUAGUGGGUGGCAGUCUGUGUCUCUAACCCCUACACUAUUUAACAAUGGGGGAGUCAGUCACUCACUCAGUCAGAGACAUUCACUCUUCAUGGCCGGCACCGCUUACACGUUCCUGCAGAAAUGUGUUCGUAAGACAUAAGUUUGUCUUAUAAGCUUAAGUACCAUGACUUUAUUACACAAGAACAGACAAGCAUUUUAAUGAUAUUGCAAUACAAUAUUGGCAAUCUUCCACAUUCUAACCAAGUGUCAUGAAAUAGAUCUAAGCUUUGUCAGUGGGGAACAAUGCCAUAAACAUGGGCCUGCACUCCAUCCUAGAACACUUGAAAAUGCAGAACCGAAUGUAAUAGCUUAAAAGCAUAGGCUUAACUAACUAUGUUGAGGAAGGGAAUGGGAGUGUUAUCCCUUCCUUCUAGCCACAACCAAAGCCCUGAAGGAUGCAUUUCCUGCACUAACAAUUGUCCAGGCGUCAUUACAUACAUACUGAUAAGUCAUUACACACAUACUGAUACAUCACUGUGAAAUAUGCAAAACAUGUGUCUAAUGGCUACUCGGCAUCAAAACAGUCAUUUCUACCCUGCGGGCUGGCUGAACUGGGCCUGCUUAGUUUUUAUUUCAGGUUUCUUUCAAUGUUUAGAUUCAGUUUUUCCAUUUUCUUUGAGUCUGUCCCCUACAAGCAGGGCCGGCUCCAGGCAUAAGUGACAUAUGCAGUUGCUUAGGGCCCCCGACCACUAGGAUGCCCCCGACUGCUAGGGAGCCCCCGACUGAUUGAGGAGAGGGGGACCCAAAUUAAAUUUUGCUCAGGACCCCCACAAAGAAGCUAGAGCCGGCAAUGCCUACAAGCCUACUGGUACAGUGUUGGGAAUCUAACCCUAGUAGCCCAUCUUCUAACCUCUCUAUACAUUGACCAGGCUAUAUAUGUAUCCCAGCUUUUUUGGUCUUUGCAAGUAGAUAAUUGUAUGCUUGUAACCUGGACACGGCAUGUUAUUCUCUCUGGGGCAGCUGACUGUUUAGACAUAAUGGUGGGUCUGGGGAAUCCAAAAUACUUUGCUAUUGUUCAUGCUCCAAAACAGGUAUACACAGAUAAGCCAGAACCUGACCACCUGCCUAAUAUGCUGUUCGUCCUGCUUGUGCCACCAAAACAGCACCAACCCUCAAAGGCAUGGACUCUACAUUACCACUGAAGUUGUCCUGUGGUACAGUAUCUGGCGCUAAGACAUUAGCAGCAGAUCCUUCAAGUCCUGUAAGUUGUGAGGUGGAGCUGCCGUGGAUUGGACUUGCUGGUCCAGCACAUCCCCCAGAUGUUCAAUUGGAUUGAACUGUCCAUCAUGUUCCUGAAACCAUUCCUGAACAGUGUGUGCAGUUUGGCAGGGUGCAUUAUCCUGCUGAAAGAGGCCACCGCGGCUCUGCAACCCCAUACGCAUCAGGGUGCGAUGCACUGUGUGUUGUGACACAUUCCUCCCAUAACCACCAUUAAUAUGUGACUUGGGCCACGGUUCGGACCAGACGGGAUAGCCUCUGUUGCCCUUGCACAUUGAUGAUUCUUGGGCACCCAAUACCCUGUCGCUGGUUUCUGGCUUGUCCCUCCUCGGACCAGUGUCGGUGGGUACUCACCACUGCAGACCGGGGGAACCACACAAUCCAUGCCAUUUCAGAGAUGCUCUGACGCAGUUGUCUGGCCUUAACAAUUUGGCCCUUGUCAAAGUCGCUCCUCCUGCCUGUUAGUCUUUUCUCCUGCCCGUUUUUCCUGCAUUUAACACGUUGACUACACUGCAAAACAUUUCUUUAAAAAAUAGGAAAACUUAAACUUAACUAUGUCUGAGGAGAUAAAUGACUGAAAUAAUCUGCCAAUGGAACAAAGCAAAUUGAUAUCCAAGGCAUAUUUUCUAAUACCAAGCAAUAUUAUCUAACACAACUUCAGCUUGUUCAAAAACAUUUACCUUAUUUUAAGGAUGGUUAGAUUUUUUUAACCCGACAACAAGAUAAAUAUAUUUCUUAAGACAUUUUUUUUUGCAGUGUACGAGAAUUGAUUGAUCACUUGCCAUCUAAUCUACCAAGACCUUGACAUGUGCCCUUGUUAGGAGAUGAUCAAUGUCAUUUGCUUCACCUGUGAGUGCUCGUAAUGUUUUGGCUCAUCAGCGUAUAACGCUCGCCCUUUCCUUUACACUCAGUGACUGACUAAACAAGUGGGACUAAUGACUCCCUUCUAUAGAGUAGCACUUAUGAAACAGACCGUGCCCCAUAUGUAACAUGUAUGUGUAUUCCACCACUACUCACCCGCCGCAAUAUGUGCUGUGUUUAUAUGCGCUGUGUGAGUGUAUGCAUUCUGUUUAUAGCACCACCACUUAUGAUCUAGAGCUAUGCAGUCUGUGUGUGUGUGUUUGUAUGAACAUCUGUGACAGUACAGUAUAUACCAGAAUAUAGGUGGGGUUGAAUGUUGGGGUUGGGGGGGCAUUCACAUCACUUAAACAUAGAUCUCCAAUAUAACAGACAUGUCUUUCCUAUACAACGUGUCACACUCCCUGCAUGUAUGAGGCUGGAGCCAUCCAUUAUCUCUGCGCAGAAAUGGGCUAAAAUCAUAUUUUCACUGGGCUUGACUGAACUUGCCGUCAUGGAACUAGUGGAAUAAUCACAAGUGUCGACCCCAUCCAUCUAAAGCAGAUUUUAAACACAUUCCUAAACUAUUGUAAAUAUAUCAAAUACUAUUUAAAACCAGGUCUGUACAAAAUAGCAAGCCCCUGCUUUGGAGAGCAGGGCGAUAUGAUGCAUUAACCAGGGUUAGCCUUUGCAGCUGGAGUAUAAAACAGGUGUUAGCUGCCAGUGUGCGUGUGCGUGUGUGUGUGUGCGUUUGUGUGCGUGUGUGUGCGCGUUUGUGUGCGUGUGGGUGGCUGUGCGUAAUUCAGCUCUGUGUGUUCAUGUGGAAAAGAUACUAAAAGAUAGUAAAAACUGAACAAUUACUUACCACAAAGAUUAUUUUUGGCAGGUAUGUGAUUUCUGGCUCAGGGCUUAGGUUUCAGGAAAAACAUGCAAUUGAGCAUAGUGUUAACACUGGGUUUGAUUUGAGGUUUAUGCAUCACUGGUUAUGUUCAAGUGAUAGGGAGCUAUGUUAGGUUUAGUUCAAGGUUAGGAUAAGGGUUCAUUUUAGGACUAGGAACCAUGAAUAUCUGGUCAGGUUUUGGUCUUAGGUCCCCACAAGGAUAGAAAGAAAAAGCUGUGUGUGUGCGUGUGUCUCUUUUUCUGUGUGUACGUUAUACUACAUUGGUCGGGACCAUACACCCCAGCAAGGAUUGCAAAACAAGAAAAAUGCUACCUCAUGUUGAAAGUCCCCCUGAGAACAAAGAAUAUUUUCAGCUUAGGUUAGAAUUGGGGUUAGAGUUAGAAUUAGGGUUUAGUGGUUAGCGAGAAUCUGAUUUUUGAAUUGGAAUAACUGUUGGGUUACCCAUAAGGAUAGUAAAGCCUAAAAUAUGUGUGUGUGUGAGUGUGUGUGUGUAAUGUGGGUCCCAGUGGAGAAGAGUCUAUCGAUGUCAGCUUAAUCAGUCAGCCACAACCUAAGCAAAACGUCAAGUAGACGGAGGGUUCAGGCAAUCUCCCUCACAGUGGCUGGUUACGGGAUUGGAUGUAUGGAAGAGAAAUGGACAUACUCUUGACUUGCUUUUAGCCGUGUGUAUGCACACGCUGACCUAGGCACCUGCUCAGUGUUAGGUUAGGUGUGACCAAGUGUGCAUCCUCUACACAUCACAGUGCACUACUUAAGGCUAUUAGCCUUACAGGGCUCUGGUCAAAAGUAGUGAACUAUAAAGGGAGUAGGAUGCCCUUUGGGAUGUAACCCAUGUGUCAAAAUAUACAGGGGUUGCAGCCUGGCUGUAAGUAGUUGAGCUUUACAGCCUGCUGCAGGCCUAUGCAUGGUUUUUAUUGUGCUUACAUUGGGGAUCUGUAAGACGUGGUGUAGGCUAGCUGAGCGAAUUACACUCUUAGUAAUGUAAUGCUAACGUCAUAUGGUACGCUAACUCACUAUCUCUGCCCCCUCUCCUCUGUUGCUGCCACAAAGAUAGGCUAAUCCAUCCACACUGGUGGCUAUUAUGACAUUCCUGUGUUCAGUGUUGAAUGAAGAGCGACCACAAGAACAUGGGUAAAGGGCAGCGUGGGUCGUGAGAAUGGACUAAUCUUAUCUUAUUGCCUCUCACUUCACUUUUUUAAGAGAAUAAUCUUCUCCACUGCCAUCUCCCCUUUUACGACCAUGACAUGAUAUGCACACCUCUCUUUAUCCCCUAUGUCUCUCUCUCUUCCUUUCACGCUGCCUCUCUUUUCCCAACCAUAGUCUCUUAUCUACUUUCUUUCUUAAAAUCUAUCAUCACUCUCUCUCGUUCCCUCUCUCUCCCAUCCCUCUCAGCUAUAUAGAGUUCCUUUUCCACAGCUCCAUUCAGUGGGUUCCUCCAGUCUAAAGGAUCUGUCUUCUUGGCACAGAUGCCCUGUCUCUGCUCCAAAUCAAGCCCUAUUUCCUUUGCAGUGCACUACAUUUAACUAGAGCCCAUAUGGGUUCUUGACAAAAGUACUGAACUACAUAGGGAAUAGGGUGUCAUUUGGGAUACUAGCCCUGACUGAACUCCGGAGGUGACAUCAUCGCCCAGCACCAUGUGACCUGCUGUGGGCAAACCUUCCCAUGCUGGUUCACACCAGGAUUACAGUUCAACUCUCUCUCUCACCAUCUCUCUUUCUCACACCCUCUCUCCAUCUCCAGAUCUCUUCUAGAGAGACAAGUCCUAGUUCAACCUAAUUUCUUUAUGGUUAUAUUACUGUUCCUGUAAACACAGAGCUAUAAUGUAGACUAUUGAAUAGUUCACCUUUCCGUGUGCACGUGUGUUUGUGUGUGUGUGUGUGUGUGUGUGUGUGUGUGCGUGUGUGUGUACAUGUGGAUCACAUGAGAUUAAGGCCUAUAUUAGAAAGUUUGUCCAGGUGGGGAAAACUCUCCACUAGGGGUGUGGGUUUCAAUGGACUGCCCACUAAGCGGUUAAGGUACAAUUCUGGAGACAAUGGUUUAAGGUCUAAAUCCUCUUAGUGAGGGCUCUGGCUGCAUUCCAUAUCCCCUAUAUAUUGACCAGCUGGUCAAAGGUAGUGCACUAAAUUAGGAAUAGUAUGACACUUGGGAUGCCUCUUGUGUAUGUACCAAGAACUGAGACGAGGCAUUCUGAUCCUGUUUAUUUUCCAGGCGUAAAGCUAGCAGGUUUCAGGAACUGAGAGCUCUGGUCAGAGGGCUGUGCUGUUGGAGGAUAGAGGUGCUCUGGUCAGAGGGCUGUGCUGUGGGAGGAUAGAGGUGCUCUGGUCAGAGGGCUGUGCUGUGGGAGGAUAGAGGUGCUCUGGUCAGAGGGCUGUCCUGUGGGAGGAUAGAGGUGCUCUGGUCAGAGGGCUGUGCUGUGGGAGGAUAGAGGUGCUCUGGUCAGAGGGCUGUCCUGUGGGAGGAUAGAGGUGCUCUGGUCAGAGGGCUGUGCUGUGGGAGGAUAUAGGUGCUCGGGUCAGAGGGCUGUGCUGUGGGAGGAUAUAGGUGCUCGGGUCAGAGGGCUGUGCUGUGGGAGGAUAGAGGUGCUCUGCAGCGUGGCAGAGUCAUGGUGUACCAUGUUGAACUGUGACCUUUGCACUAGAGGCGUCCCGGCCUUGUGGUCUCUGUGGCACUUGGUUGGUUGUUAUUUAUGUCAGGACGGGAAUGGGAAACUGAUCCUCUUAACAGGCUGGAAUUGGCCCGUAUUCAGGAAGGUGUCACUGUCACAAUCGUACCUGGGGUUGGGAACCUGCAGAGAGAGAGAGAGAGAGGGAGGCGUGGGGGGCGGGAGAGAGAAAUGCCUGAACUUAAUAUGGCUUUGUUGUUUUGAAAAAUUACAGUACUCUGUGUAUUAUUGAAUUUUAGAGUAGGAGAUGGAUACAAGCAGAUUAGCAGGUAGGGUUUCAGAAUAGGACAAUAAAUUAAGAUACUAUAGCGGACUGCACAGUACAAUGCUUUACUACAGUAUCUAAUGGACUGGAUUGGUUUUUCAGCCCUCAGUGACGGGAACCAUUUAGAUUCAUGUAUGAUAACCAAUCAUAUUUAGUCCCUGGGUGCUGCUGGUUAGUCCUUGUUCUGCUGUAGCAAACUGGACUGACCAAUAAUCAUGGGUCUCCCAAAUGACAAACUAUUCCCUUCAUUAUGUGCUACUUUUGACACCCAGAGAGAACAGGUACAUCCCAACAAACCUCUCUGCUCCAGCCUUGUUCUCUCCACUCCUUCUCUGUCCAUCUCUACAUGCCCACAACUAAACCAGUAUUCUUAACUAAUCCACAGUCAGUUUCAAAAUUGUUGUCUGAAGAUUUUUUGGAACCUCCUCUCCCUCUUGCUCCCUCUCUACUCUCUUGCUUCCAGAUGUUUCUAUAACCACGUGUUAACUAUAAAAAGAGAAGCAGCCAGGCCAAGAUAACACUCAUUCAAUUGAUUUAUCGGAAGCAAAUACUAUCACUCUGUUUUAUUUUAAAGAGGAGUCCUCCAUUUCCCCAAAACCAAUCAAUAACGAAUGGUUCGUUUUAUUGGGCAUGUACAAUGAAUGUGUAAUAAAUCUCAGUUGAAGUUGACACAACAUUGACAAAACGUCUGUAAAAUAGAGAAUGGCUCGUAUUACAAUGUCAUUGUAAUGCAGUACCAGCCUGUAUCCGCACCAUAAAACCCACAUGAAUCCACAUCAGAGACAAUAUGGUUUACUGCAUCUAUACAAGAUGGUGUUCAACCCUGGGAAUUCAGAUACUGUCCAGGGAAACGUAACACACGGUACAUCACCAACUUAUUUUCCUAGAAAGCAAAAGAACAUACGAAGAAGAAAAGAACACACAGCAAAACGUUGUAAAAAAACUGUAAAAAUAAAACCCACAAAUAGAGAGUGGUUUAGAGCUAAAGUAACGAAAGGAAGGAAGGCUUGGACGCAUUCGCGACUUCCUGUUUGACGUCCCGCACUGCAACCCCAGGGCUGCUCGGUGCCGUCGUUGUGGCGCAGCACCUCGUGAGGAGGGAGUGCUAGAGUGCACCGCCCUCUAUGAAAUCUUAUAUCACCCCUGAAAAUACCCCUCUGGUAUCCCUGCGGCGGGGUUCAACUCCCGCAGUAAUGUGUCCAUGGUCUUCUAACUUAGGUCCAUACCAACUAACCCAUGUAGAACCCAAGUUACCAGACCAUCAGAGAGAAAUGUGGUCCCAGCACCAUGCGGCUAGACCAAGAGUUAAAUCUGUCUCUGCUGUGGCUGGGACCAGAACAGACCCCUGUAGUGCUACUUAUUAGGUUGACGUGAUGUGGAGUCACUAAGUCACUGAGUCAGAGCUGGAUCGGGCCGGGUCCCUGACAUGAUUGACGGUGUCUGUCUGUUCUGUCAGCACCCCCGCUGAGUUAGGGAGCUGCACAUGAUUUUCCUCAAAACCGAUUUCCCUCAAAACCAAACAGCUGGCAGCAGAUGCGAAUGGCUUGUGUGGGAGGAUUAUUUACGUGUUUCCCCAUAAAGCGAGGUCAGCGGCGGAUGCCAGAAUCACAUCUCAGUUAUUACCAUGGUGGGUUGGUCACCACGAGCCAAGAAAGCCAUGACUUGCGAUAAACACAAAAGUAAUUACAAUUUAAGGAGGCCUCUGUGUUGUUCCAAGCAACAAACGCACGAUACAGGCGGUGUGAAACGACAGCAUUUGGGUUCCACGUCAAUCUGUGUGUCUCCAGAGUUCAAUGUGUAUAUGCACCUGCAUGUGUCUUUGCAUAGCGUGUGUGCAUCCGGAGGAGUUUGGGUCGUAACUGUCCUCCUCACCUUGUCCGCGUUUAUGUUCUAUGGAAAACUUUCAGGUUGCAUCCCAAACGGCAGCCUAUUCCCUCUUGAAGACGUGAAGAGACUCUCUCUCAGUGCUUUCAUGACAUAGCAAAAUACACUUCUGGGUCAAAGAGUUCAAAGCUGAGAGCAAGCCAACUAACCCUGUCGCAAUGCCAAACAUCACAGGCUGUAAAACUGGAUAAAGGAUCUCCUUUCAUCUGAGCCGCAUUGGGCUUUCUUUACACGUAUAAAAAAAAAUAUCUCAGUUUACUAUAGUAUUCUGUAGUAAACUAUAAUUGCUAAAACAGCUGGUCAAACUAGCAAAAUGUGACAGAAUAUCACCAUUUGCGUCACAACGAAAUUUCAUUAACAUUUAUGUUCAUCACUCACCAUGUUAGGCCGUCAGAUGCUCCCCAAAAUAUGUCUUUGCAAAAACAAAUCAAUGAUAGUUAACUUGCUAACUCUUUCAUCAUUGGAACUGCAUUCACAGUAUCCAAUUUUGGUUUUUGUGUGGUAGUUGGUCAACAUUUCUGUAUAUUUGCACCAAGUAGAUUCUGUGCAUGAAAAUGUCCAAUAACUGUUCUAGCUAAUUGGAAAAUGAACUGCCAUUUUAGAAUACACUUUGGACGAAUUAAUGAAAGCUCCUCCACAAUUCUGUGGUACAACACAUCAUGGUAUUGUUCAAUCGUGUGAUGUACUUAAAUUACAGAAUUGUGCAGAAUACUUUAUAAUAUUAUAUUACACACUGCAGUAUCCCUUCAUCAUGUAGUGCUAGAACAUAGUAGUAUAUUGGAGAAUACUAUACUACAAACUGUGUUGAGGUAUAGGAUUUCCUGUGCAUUUGUCUCACCCCUCCUCCCCCAGUCUUUAUGACUAGACACUGUAAAGAGGGGUAGAAAGUUGCAACCAGGCUGGUAGCAAGGGGGAGCAAAACAGUUGAAAUUUCAGUGCAUUCAGUUUUACGUCCCAGUAUAAAAACAGAGAAGUUCAAAUCAUUUUUGGUGUAAAAUAUGUCAGCACAAUGGAAGAAGCCUUUGGAUUUGCGUAGUAUGGCAAAACAAAUGCUGCAUCUUUAACCAUAGUCUGUAAUAUUAGAUUUUUUAGGGCAGAAUCUAGUGAUGAAGCUGCUUCACUAAACUCAGUCUUACGUGCCUCCACAAAAGAGGUUACAUCCUAGCUUUCACUGUUAAACAUUAAUAAUAGUCAUCGGCCAUAGCCAAUUAUCCCGAACCAGCUAAUUUCUCACCACAAAAAUAGAUAUCAGAAAUUGGCAUUGCCGAAGUACCUUCAGUAUACAAAGGAGUAGGUGGGCAAGCAGUUGCAGCAGCGUUUAAACCGCUGAGGCAGAGCCCCGCCACAGCGAUAAGGCUGCCUUGUUCCAGCUAGCUCCGUAUGGAUUCUAUCUCCUGUUCCACAAGCGCAGCCAGGAGAAUGGCUCCACAGCUCCCCCAACCUCAGACUGUUCCCGGUGAUCUUAAAACAGAGGCACUAGCCUAAGUUAGCCUAGAUUUCUAUCUCAUAGCAGUCGGUUCAAAGCGCUUCUAUUGCUUCAUUGAUCACAUGAGAGUCAGAUCCACAGAUAUAUAUGGUUCCGUAUCAUAAUGUUGCUGAAUCUUCUGAGGGUCUGAUCUUCCACAUUUGAAGCAGGACUAUGGAUUGAAAUAGCAUGAUUCAUAAUCCCUGAAAAACCUUUCGGCACAACUGGAAGAGCAUCUCUUUGCAUGGUUGCACCCGUCAAUACUUCCAUGGGGGACAUGUAGAGUGGAAUUUCAAUACCUUCGGUUCAGUGUAGGCUUACCCCACCUCAGUGUUUUGAUGGCUAUGGAAAUACCUAUAGGACAAGUGGACUUCCAUCAAUGUUUGCUUAAUAUUAGCAGAGCUGUUCUGCCUGAAUGAAACACAGACUAUAUUUGAAGCCAUUCCAAAAUCAAUAUCACAUUUUAGAGUUUUUGGGGGAUGAUAAGGCAUUCAUUAUUAAGGUGAUAAGCCUGGUAUUUGGUAAGACUGUUGUCCAUGGCUGCAUCUCACUUCUUCAGGCCAUUACAUAGUGGUUAUUUGGAUGUUACUGUUUCGUUUGUUUAGUGUUAACCUAGCCUUUAGUCUCCUUUUGCAUAUUUGUGGCCUUUUUGUCUGCUUGAAUGAGUCUGGUCAUUCUCCUCUGACCUCUCUCACUAACAACUGCCCACACAACUGCAGCUAUUUGGAUGUUUGUUGUUUAUCACCCAAUUUUCUUUAAAGUAAAGCAAUUGCAGUGAGUGAAAAUCCCAGGAGGUCAGCCAUUUGUAAGAUGCUUGAACAACUACGUCUGGCACCAACAAUCACACAACGGUCAAAGACGCUUAGAUUCCUUUCCAAAAAAGUUCUCUUAAUUUUAACCCUUCUUUUCCACACUGAAAACCUACCUUUUCGACUUUUUUGGAAAGGAAAGAAAAAGAUGCUGUGGUCUCUUAAUUUUUUGUAUGUUGAGUUGCAGCCCCAUGAUUUGCUGUUUGGCUAUUGGUGUUAACACACAAUAGUACAUAAUAAAGUGACUGGUGAGACUAGCUGUGGUAUAAUUGUACUGUUCUGUUUUGUUAUUUUCUAAAUUAUUCUUCAGCAUCUAAACUGCUAUUCAGAAUUUCUGUCUGUGUGAAUUUACCCCACUUUCAGUGUUUUGUUCAAUUGUUCUGGUAAGCCAACUCUGCCUAUAGCUGCAUUAACAUUGUUUGAAAUUAGUAAAUGACUCUUUGUUUGCUGUCCUUGGUGUGUUGUUAUGAUGGGGCUACACAUUUCAGGACACAUUUUCACCUCAAAUGUAUUCAGUGGUCUCAGCAUUUGAACUUCAGUAGAGUGACAAUAAGCAGAAUUCAAUGCAAUUCCAAUGCUAGAACUGAAAAUAAUGUGACCCCAUGCUGAUUUGAACUGCCCUCUCCGUUCAUCCAGCAGCCAUGCCUGGUUGCAGCCCUGAACUGACACUUACAAGUCUCAAGUUUCUUUCUCACAAAACAGCAGAAGAGCUGAACUUUUAACCCUUCAGUCCAUACAGUAGUCCUGUUUUCUAACAGGUUUUGGAACACAUGUUCUUUUAGGAUUGCUUUUCCAGACUCAGAUUAAAAAUAACCCCUACUGAGAUUUUCCACUGAGCCUGAUCUUUUGACAGGGCUAGACUGAAUCUGAAGUCAGGUGUCUGCGUUGCCUUCAGAACAACCUGAAUGUUUUGUUUUCUGGAUUCUACAAGGUUGGGAAAUGCUCCACAGGGAUGCUGAUACACAUCACUGACAUGACCGUGUUACACCGUUGCUGGAAGUUGGACGUCAGAAUAUUCAUAAAAGCUCUAUUUGCUUUAAGUCUGGUGACUGCGCAGGCUAUUGAAGUUAACUGAACUUGUUGUCAUGUUCCUGAAACCUUCUGAAGCAACACAAACAUUGUGACAUGUGCCACAUAUUCUCAAUGUAUCCACGUGGCACUGGGUAAACUGUGGCCAUGAAGGGUUUCACCAAGUCAGACAAACCGGCACUAAAAUGUUGCUCAAUUUGUAUCAAGGGACCUACAAUAUGCCAAGAAAACAUUCCCCACACAUUACACCAUCACCAGUACCGAUGACACCAGGCAAAAUGGAUCCGUGGUCUCAUGCUGCUAACGCCAAAUCCUGAAUCACCAACAGGAACUGGGAUUCAUCAAACCAAAGCAAUGCUUUUCCAAUCCUCAACUUUCAAGUGUAUGCGAUCACCUCCCUACUACAUCUGCUUCUUCUGCUGUUAGCCGAUAGGAGUGGACCUGGUGUGGUUGUCUGUUGCAGUAGCCCAUCAGCACCAAAGAACAUUCACGUCCUGGCAUGGCAGGUUGCCAGCUACUAGUGAGAUGCAAUGCCCUCUCUUCCUCACUUGGAUCAUGGACACCACUUUUGCUGUUUAUUGCCCUAACCUAUUUCCCUAAUUGCUGUCCCUAUUUAAGUUUCUCUUUUCCUAGUGUGUCUUGUCGGUCUUUGUUUUGGUUUCAUCCAUUUGUAAUGUUGUUCUUCCUCUGGGAUUUUGUAUUUGUUUGGUACAUUUGCGUUACUUUAUUAAAGGUCUUCCGUUCUCCCGGCACGUGUCCUGCUUCAUCGUUCAACGUUGCAGGCCCAGUGAGUUAAGGUUAGUUUCAGCUAUGUCAUUCAUCUGCGCAUCACUGUUUACCUGUGCAGUUAUUAUUAAUAUUACUGAGCCUGUUUGUGGCCACAAUCCACGCCAUUCUCUUUCGACCUCUGCAACACUAAUAGCACACAUGCUUGAGCUAGCUAGCAUAACUGGAUAUGUUUUGAAGGAGAGGGGUUUUGCGUCUGUAUAGGUAAAAGUUCGAUCUUAUUCCAGUUAGUUCUGUAUCCAGACAUGGUACCAAACAAAUUAAUCAAGUAGAACAGGAAUAUUAGAGUGGGGUUUAGGUACAUAAAGGUUAUUGUUAUAUACUUAAAGAGACGUUUAGUGUUUUUAGUAUUUUAGCCAUGUGUUGCUACAUGAGAUCUUAUGGCUUGAGCUAGCAGCAUGAUGGCCAGAGAUAGACAAAGAGGUGAAAGUGUAAAACUCUGCCUCAUCCAUCAAUGGAGUUUAAAUUGCUGUGACAGUGAUUGAUUGAUAGAUUGGUGAGUAUUUGAGUGCAAUAAUUAUGGUAUAGAAGUUGGAUCCAUAUUAUAAAUCUGCCUGCAAUCUUACAUCAUUGUAGGACAACAAAUAAGCAUUUAUUCAUGCUAGGGCGGACAUGUGCGAAUCUCUUAAAAGCAUAAACCCUCGCAAGGCUCCUGUUCUGGACAAUAUCCCUGGCCUCAAGGUACGUGCUGACCAACUGGCUGAUAGUCCCCAAGUUUCAAGGAGACCACCACUGUCCCUGUCCCCCAAGAAAAGUACUCUGCCCAAACAUCUCCUGCCCUAGAGCACUAACAUCCCUAGUCAUGACGCGCUUCAGCGGUAAGUCUAAGGACAUAUCACCACCUCCCUACCCUCAUCUUUAGAUCCACUACAAUUUUCUUGGAGACCAAACUUGCCCUCCACUCUGCCGCCUCUCAUCUGGACCGAAGGAAUACAUAUGUGAGAAUGCUGUUUGUUGGUCGUAGUUCAGCAUUCAACUCAAUUGUGCCCCACAAGCUCGUGGUGAAGCUCAGGGAUCUGGGCCUCCACACCGGCCAGUGUCCGCGGACCUCAGGUCGUUCGGAUGGGCAGCUCCACCUAAUCCACACUGACUCUCAGCAUGGGCGUCCCACAAGGCUGUGUGCUCAGUCCCCUCCGGUACUCCCUGUUCAAGCAUGACUCCGGGCCCCCGCACUCCUCUGACAUCACUGAGAAGUUCGCAGACGACACCACUGUCAUUGGCCUGAUCUCCGAUACUGAUGAGACUGCCUAAAGAGAGGCAAUCAGAAUCUUGUCAUCAUUGUGUCAGGAUGACGACCUCCAGCUUAACGUCAGCAGAACGAAGGAGCUGAUUGUGGACUACAGGACAGGAGGAAACGGGGGAAGCCAUGCCCCUAUCCACAUCAAUAGGCCUGCAGAGGAGAGAGUCUGCAGCAUCAGGGUCCUCCGGGUCAGAGUCAGCGACAUUCUGUCCUGGUCUCUCUAUUCCAACAUCGUUAUCAAGGAGGCAAGGAAACGUCUCUUCUUCCUAAGCCGACUAAAGAGGUGGACUCCACGAGGAGUGGACUCCAGGAUACUCACCAACAUCUACAGGUGCAUCACUGAGAGUAUCCUGACGGGCUGUAUCUCCACCUCCACAGUAUCCUGACUGGCUGUAUCACCGCCUCCACAGUAUCCUGACAGGCUGUAUCACCGCCUCCACAGUAUCCUGACUGGCUGUAUCACUGCCUACACAGUAUCCUGACUGGCUGUAUCACAGCCUCGUAUGGCAGCUGCACUGUCCUUGACCAAAUGGCUCCAUAGAGGGUGGUCAAGAUGAUUCACCUGGAGGGACCGGCCAUCUCUGCAGGACUUGUAUAGGUAUACACACAGGUGCAGGAAGAAGGCCCUACGCUUCAUCAGGGACCCAUGUCAUCAGGGACCCAUGUCAUCAGGGACCCAUGUCAUCAGGGACGGAUGUCAUUAGGGACCCAUGUCAUCAGAGACCCAUGUCAUCAGGGACGGAUGUCAUUAGAGACCCAUGUCAUCAGGGACCCAUGUCAUCAUGGACCCAUGUCAUUAGUGACCCAUGUCAUUAGGGACUCAUGUCAUCAGGGACCCAUGUCAUUAGGGACACAUGUCAUCAGGGACCCAUGUCAUUAGGGACCCAUGUCAUCAGGGACCCAUGUCAUCAGGGACCCAUGUCACCCCAACAUGAACUUUCUCCCUGUUUUGCUCUGGCAGGAGAUACAGGACCAUCCUGUCCACAACCAACAGGUCCCAGGAAAGCUUCUUCCCCCAGGCCUUAAGACUGUUGAAUCUUUGAACACAUUUAAUAAUGUACUAUUGCAAUAGAGGAAAUAACAUUACCAGAUGAAUGCUGGAACCUACCUAACGCUGCUUAGAAGAGUGACACAAUGAACACUUAUCAAUUUUAUUAUGUACUAAAUUUCUUCUUCUAUAUUGUUCUUAUUCUAUUUUUUAUUCUAUUAUAUUACUUAUGCCAGAAAUGUUGAGGGUGUUUUUGGAAAACAAGCAUUUCAUUAACAACAAUGCUGUUGCUAUUGUGUAGUGACAAAUAUACUUGAAUUUAUACACUCUGUGUAGACUACAUUUAGGUUAUCAAUUAUAAGAUCUGUAGCAGCAUUUCUCUUUCCUGGGGGCACCAAAGGCUUGCUUAGUAGUUUGCAUUUCACUGAUAUUCUGUUGAUGCUAAUUUGAUAUAAAAUCCUUUAGGUACCGUAUUUCUCUUGUGUUCUGGCUCUGCCUAUUUGGCCUUGCAUUAGGGAGGGAAUGAGUAAGUAAGGGAGUGAGUGAGGGAAUGAAUGAAUGAGUAAGUGCAUAUGUGACUGCAUAAUUGGAUAAGUAAGUUAAUUAGUAAGUGAUUGAGUAAGUGAAUAAAUUAGCAGGUGAGUGAGUAAAUGAAUGAGUUAAAGGUUGUUGGAAAUAUAAAAAUUGGUGUAAGCAUUGCGAUGAUGUCUCAUGCAGCUUGACAUUAAGUUUUUUCAGUUUAUUGAAAAAAUACAUUCCCUUUUUCUACCUUCAGGCAAUGCUCAAACCCUACAUACAUUUUCUAGCUUUUAGUUCCCAUUUGGUCUUUUGGCUGAACCACCCAACAGGGGGUCAGAUCUGCCAUUCAAUAGCCCUUUGCAGCCCAGAAGUGUAGCUGUCCCCAUACAGUGCCUUGUUGCAACUUACACAAUAAAUGUAUGUUGCUAAUACUAAACAUUGAUUUACUCUAAUCUUUUUUCUGUUCAUUACAUGGAAUGUUAAACGAGGACGUGUAACUGCAUUCUAGCAAUCUUUGUAAUAAAGCAAAUUCAUCGUGGUCAAUAUUUGUUUUUUAAAAGGAAAUUAUUUACAAUUAACUCAGAACUUUCACUUUUACUUUGUUACACAAACAGUUUUCACUUUGCCUUGAGUAAAUUGUCAUUAAAUUAAUAGUAUUUCCAUACUCUUUCCAUUUCUGGAAGUAUGUGGGUCUGUCCAAAAUAGGGCACUGCUUAUCCCUGGAGUUAAAUGGUGCCCUUUCAGGCUCUAUUCAAAAGUAAUGCACUCUGUUGAAAGGAACAAGGUGCCAAUUCUAUGUGCUGACAGGAGGACGAUGUACAAAAUCAAACACUCUGAGUUGAAAGUAAGAAGGAAACUAGAUACAUCUCCAUUGGCAGCAUUACUCUCCACAAACCUCAAAUGAUAAAUGUGUUAUGCAUGUGUCAUUGAGGGCGUAGUGACCUGAGGAACAGUGGAGCAGAGGAAGAGACAGGGAUAAGAAACACUGUGACUAUGUCUUAAAUGGCACCCUAUUUCCUAGGUAAUGCGCUAAUUAAGAGUUGGAGCUAACUGUACCAGUCAAAAGUUUAGACACACCACUCUAAUGAGGGGUAACUAUGUCGAAACGUUUGACUAGUACUGGAUAUGGUCCCUGGUCAAAUGCUGUUCACUAUACAUGGAAUAGGGUACCAUUUGGGAAACAUCCUUAACCCUGUAUUUUGUUUUAUUAUGUUUCCAAUUAUUGAUACGAUCAGAGCCAGAGAUAGAAUACUGCUGCUUCGUGAGAAUGGUCUACAGAGGAAUGCUGAGAAUGACAUUAAUUAUUUAUUUAAAAUGUUGAUGACAGGAUUAAACGCCUUCAGAUGAGAAACAGAGAGAGAUAGAAAUCUAGUUUUCUAGGAAUUCAUGCCAGCAGGGCUGAUGGAGAGACAGAGAGACAGAGAGACUGAGACGGAGACUUAGAAACUGAGAUAGAGACAGAUACAUGUGAACUGAGAAAGACGAAGAAAGACAGAGACAGAGAGAUACUGAAACAGAUGGAGAGGAGUGAAACUGACCAACAAAGACACUGACAGAAACUGACCAAGACAAAAGGACUGACAGAGACUGAAAAAGACAGAGAGACUGACAGAGACUGAACAAGACAUAGAGACUGACAGAGACUGACCAAGACAAAGAUGCCAGUAUAUAGGGAAUAGGGUGUUACAAUGUAGGGAGUAGGUUGUCACUAUAUAGGGUGUUACAAUGUAGGGAGUAGGUUGUCACUAUAUAGGGAGUUACAAUAUAGGGAGUAGGUUGUCACUAUAUAGGGAGUUACAAUGUAGGGAGUAGGUUGUCACUAUAUAGGGAGUAGGGUGUCAGUAUAUAGGGGGUAGCAUGCCAGUAAAUAGGGAGUAGGGUGUCAGUAUAUAGGGAGUAGGGUAUUAGUAUAUAGGUAGUAGGGUGCCACUGUAUAGGGAGUAACAUGCCAGUAAAUAGGGCGUAGGGUGUCACUAUAUAGGGCGUAGGGUGUCACUAUAUAGGGAGUAGGGUGUUAUUAUAUAGGGAGUAGGGUGUCACUAUAUAGGGCGUAGGGUGUCACUAUAUAGGGAGUAGGGUGUUACUAUAUAGGGCGUAGGGUGUCACUAUAUAGGGAGUAGGGUGUCACUAUAUAGGGUGUAGGGUGUCACUAUAUAGGGAGUAGGGUGUUACUAUAUAGGGAGUAGGGUGUUACUAUAUAGGGAGUAGGGUGUCACUGUAUAGGGCGUAGGGUGUCACUAUAUAGGGAGUAGGGUGUCACUAUAUAGGGCGUAGGGUGUCACUAUAUAGGGAGUAGGGUGUCACUAUAUAGGGAGUAGGGUGUUACUAUAUAGGGAGUAGGGUGUCACUAUAUAGGGAGUAGGGUGUCACUAUAUAGGGAGUAGGGUGUUACUAUAUAGGGCGUAGGGUGUCACUAUAUAGGGAGUAGGGUGUCACUGUAUAGGGCGUAGGGUGUCACUAUAUAGGGAGUAGGGUGUCACUAUAUAGGGAGUAGGGUGUCACUGUAUAGGGCGUAGGGUGUCACUAUAUAAGGAGGAGGGUGUCACUAUAUAAGGAGUAGGGUGUCACUGUAUAGGGCGUAGGGUGUCACUAUAUAAGGAGGAGGGUGCUACUAUAUAGGUAGUAGGGUGCUACUAUAUAGGUAGUAGGGUGCUACUAUAUAGGUAGUAGGGUGCUACUAUAUAGGUAGUAGGGUGCUACUAUAUAGGGUGCCAUUAUAUAGGGUGCCAGACUAGUAAUCCCAAGAGAAGCUAGACCAGGCAGCAUCUAAUCUAGAGACUGUAUAUGUAUCCACAGCUGCACAGACACUAACAAACAGGACACCCACCCAUGCAGUGUCUAGGAUAAGAACCCUUGGCACCUACAUGACAACGAGCUGGACCAUAUCACGUCACACAAAACAUUAAACACACCAGCCAACAGCAACAGCAACAUUUCUAAACUAGAGACUACCAUGGACACACUCUGCUAUGCCUUAGCACUAUGCACUAUAGACAGACAGACCGAUUGAACGUAAGGUUUACCUCUGUCUGAAAAUGUCAUGCACGCAAAAAAAAACUCAGACGAAAAGAAAACGAGAAGAAUAUGCCAAGUAAUAAGAAAACUAAUCUUAGCAGCAGACAUUUUCUUGCUAUUCUGGGGGUGUUUCCUUACGCUGUGCUUGUUUUUCAUAAUGCAGUUUCAACACUUUUUCUGCUUCUCUGGUGGAAAUCACACAAUGGUCAAUACUGAUUGCUUUAUUUUUUCAGUGUUGUACCCCCUCUCGCGUUUGUUAUUGCAGAACAGGAGGGUAUGCAGGACCUGGGAUGGGGGGUUCGGACUGUGGGUGCUGCUGAAACGGCACAAUCUCUCCAUUUCUGUCUAAUAAUGUGAAAACAUGUUAAGGGUUUGUGUGUGUCUGCGUGUGUGUGUUUGUGUGUGUACCAGCUCACCAGACCUGUCCCAGGUAUGUGGACGGUGAGUGGACCCCCAGUACAGAUUCAGACACACAGGUAUGCUGCGCUGUCUGCCACUUCCUGUGGUGUAUCUGUGCAUUGGUGUGUGAUGACGUGCUGAGAGGGCUGGCGGCAUAGACACGGAACACUGGAGAUACCUUCUGUGUUCCAGAACUCAGCAGGAUCCACAACCCAGUAAAACAAUACCUCUGUGGCCUAGCCACUCAAGGCUCUCUCUCUCUCUCUCUCUCUCAUUUUCUUUAUCUUACACGCACGCACGCACACACACACACACACACAGACACACACGCGCACAUCCACACAUAUAUAAACAAAUAACUGUGUUUAAGUGCGUUGAGGAAUGAAUCCACCUACACACCUGCCCAAAAGAAUGUAGGCUUGGGCAGUGUCUUUCCAGUGUGGGGGGCACCUCCCAUGGAGCACUGUGCCGCGGAGCCAUGGGGAAGUGGCUAUUCCUGUGGUGUAGGGGUUAGGGUUCUGUCCCAAAGAGCACCCUAUUCUUAUUAUAGGGCCCUUUUUUGGCCAGAGGGUGUUGGGCAGGGUUAAGGGUAUAAUGUAUACAAGGUUGCUAUUUAGGAGGUACCAGGGAUAUGGAGUAAAGGAGCCGUUGGUUAAACUGGCCAUCAGGAAAACCACUGGCACAGCACUCUGAGCCAAAUGGAACUAAUUCUGACCAUAUCGUGCUGCAUAUGGGAAAACCUCUAAGCCCUAGUGUUCCAGCCCGGAUUAAGCAUGGUCCUGGACUUCAAAAGCACUUUCAAUGGAGAAUCUUAAUUUAGCAUACUUAUAAACCCAGGACUGAAGCUAUAUGAAUGGUAUUGAAACUGGUCAUAUGUGGCUCCUAAAAUUCAGAUAUAAAGAUAAUUUUUAAUACAUCAAAUAUAAUAAGAAUAUGGGACAGGUCUACCUG